rnacentral:rRNA from 1 species
GAUCCUGGCUCAGGAUGAACGCUGGCGGCACGCUUAACACAUGCAAGUCGAGCGGAGUUUUGUGCGGAAGAUUUCGGUUGGAAGUAUAGAACUUAGCGGCGGACGGGUGAGGAACGCGUGGGUAACCUGCUCUGUACAGGGGGAUAACACAGAGAAAUCUGUGCUAAAACCGCAUAAGCUCACGGGACCGCAUGGUCUUGUGAGAAAAACUCCGGUGGUACAGGAUGGGCCCGCGUCUGAUUAG